CCAACGAAAUGAUCGCCACACAA
rnacentral:misc_RNA from 1 species